GGGCGGGCGGGCUGCUUACCAUUGCAGUCGAACGGGGAUGCUUAUGGAAGGAGUGCUUGCACUUUGGAAAUGACUAUCUUAGUGGCGGACGGGUGAGUAACGCGUGGGUAACCUGCCCCAUACCGGGGGAUACCACCUGGAAACAGGUGCUAAUACCGCAUAAGCGCACGGGAGCGCAUGCUCCUGUGUGCCAAACUCCGGUGGUAUGGGAUGGACCCGCGUCUGAUUACCCAGUUGGUAGGGUAACGGCCUACCAAAGCGACAAUCAGUACCCGGCCUGAGAGGGUGGACGGCCACAUUGGGACUGAGACACGGCCCAAACUCCUACGGGAGGCAGCAGUGGGGAAUAUUGCACAAUGGGGGAAACCCUGAUGCAGCGACGCCGCGUGAGUGAAGAAGUAUUUCGGUAUGUAAAGCUCUAUCAGCAAGAACGAGACAAGACGGUACCUGACUAAUAAGCCCCGGCUAACUACGUGCCAGCAGCCGCGGUAAUACGUAGGGGGCAAGCGUUAUCCGGAAUCACUGGGUGUAAAGGGAGCGUAGACGGCUGAGCAAGCCUGAAGUGAAAGGCGGGGGCCCAACCCCUGGACUGCUUUGGGAACUGUACGGCUGGAGUGCAGGAGAGGUAAGUGGAAUUCCUAGUGUAGCGGUGAAAUGCGUACAUAUUAGGAGGAACACCAGUGGCGAAGGCGGCUUACUGGACUGUAACUGACGUUGAAGCUCGAAAGCGUGGGGAGCAAACUGGAUUACAUACCCUGUUAGUCCACGCCCUAAACGAUGAUUACUACGUGUCGGGGGGC
rnacentral:rRNA from 1 species